UACGAAGGGGGCUAGCGUUGUUCGGAAUUACUGGGCGUAAAGCGCACGUAGGCGGGUUGUUAAGUCAGGGGUGAAAUCCUGGAGCUCAACUCCAGAACUGCCUUUGAUACUGGCAACCUAGAGACUGGAAGAGGUUAGUGGAAUUCCCAGUGUAGAGGUGAAAUUCGUAGAUAUUGGGAAGAACACCAGUGGCGAAGGCGGCUAACUGGUCCAGCACUGACGCUGAGGUGCGAAACGUGGGGAGCAAACAGG
rnacentral:rRNA from 1 species